UGCAAGUCGAACGAGAAAGUCCACUUCGGUGGAUGAGUAAAGUGGCGCACGGGUGAGUAACGCGUGGGUAAUCUACCCUAAAGUCGGGGAUAACACCUCGAAAGGGGUGCUAAUACCGGAUAAUAUCCCGGGGACUCCGGUCUCGGGGAUCAAAGAUGGCCUCUGCUUGCAAGCUGUCGCUUUAGGAUGAGCCCGCGUACCAUUAGCUAGUUGGUAGGGUAAUGGCCUACCAAGGCUACGAUGGUUAGCUGGUCUGAGAGGAUGGCCAGCCACACUGGAACUGAGACACGGUCCAGACUCCUACGGGAGGCAGCAGUGAGGAAUCUUGCGCAAUGGGGGCAACCCUGACGCAGCGACGCCGCGUGAGCGAAGAAGGCCUUCGGGUCGUAAAGCUCUGUCAGAUGGGAAGAAAAUUCUGCCUGCGAAUAACAGGCAGAAUUGCCGGUACCAUCAAAGGAAGCACCGGCUAACUCCGUGCCAGCAGCCGCGGUAAUACGGAGGGUGCAAGCGUUGUUCGGAAUUACUGGGCGUAAAGCGCGUGUAGGCGGUCUAGUAAGUCAGAUGUGAAAUCCCUUGGCUCAACCAAGGAAGGGCAUUUGAAACUGCU
rnacentral:rRNA from 1 species